GGGGAAUUUUGGACAAUGGGGGCAACCCUGAUCCAGCCAUGCCGCGUGAGUGAAGAAGGCCUUCGGGUUGUAAAGCUCUUUCGGCCGGGAAGAAAUCGUGUGGGCUAAUACCUCACAUGGAUGACGGUACCGGAAUAAGAAGCACCGGCUAACUACGUGCCAGCAGCCGCGGUAAUACGUAGGGUGCGAGCGUUAAUCGGAAUUACUGGGCGUAAAGCGUGCGCAGGCGGUUUGAUAAGACAGGCGUGAAAUCCCCGGGCUUAACCUGGGAACUGCGCUUGUGACUGUCUCACUAGAGUACGGCAGAGGGGGGUGGAAUUCCACGUGUAGCAGUGAAAUGCGUAGAGAUGUGGAGGAACACCGAUGGCGAAGGCAGCCCCCUGGGCCGAUACUGACGCUCAUGCACGAAAGCGUGGGGAGCAAAC
rnacentral:rRNA from 1 species